AAAAAGGCUCUUUUCAGAGCCGCCUACUUUUAUUUUAAGAAAGCUGU
rfam:Sarcophilus harrisii ctg7180002506273, whole genome shotgun sequence.